rnacentral:ribozyme from 1 species
AGACCACUCAGCGCCCUGGGGCUCUCCUGAAUUUUAUGACAAAAGGAAAGCAGCACUGGACAAGACUCGAAGACCCCUACGAUCAGGUUUACU